rnacentral:rRNA from 1 species
GACGAACGCUGGCGGCGUGCUUAACACAUGCAAGUCGAACGGAAAGGCCCUGCUUUUGUGGGGUGCUCGAGUGGCGAACGGGUGAGUAACACGUGAGUAACCUGCCCUUGACUUUGGGAUAACUUCAGGAAACUGGGGCUAAUACCGGAUAGGAGCUCCUGCUGCAUGGUGGGGGUUGGAAAGUUUCGGCGGUUGGGGAUGGACUCGCGGCUUAUCAGCUUGUUGGUGGGGUAGUGGCUUACCAAGGCUUUGACGGGUAGCCGGCCUGAGAGGGUGACCGGCCACAUUGGGACUGAGAUACGGCCCAGACUCCUACGGGAGGGAGCAGUGGGGAAUAUUGCACAAUGGGCGGAAGCCUGAUGCAGCAACGCCGCGUGCGGGAUGACGGCCUUCGGGUUGUAAACCGCUUUCGCCUGUGACGAAGCGUGAGUGACGGUAAUGCGUAAAGAAGCACCGGCUAACUACGUG